AGGAUAAACGCUGGCGGCGUGCCUAAUACAUGCAAGUCGAGCGGCAGCGCGGUCUUCGGACUGGCGGCGAGCGGCGGACGGCUGAGUAACACGUAGGAACGUACCCCAAAGUGAGGGAUAAGCACCAGAAAUGGUGUCUAAUACCGCAUGUGCUCUAAGGAGUAAAGCUUCGGCGCUUUGGGAACGGCCUACGCAUGAUUAGCUUGUUGGUGAGGUAAUGGCUCACCAAGGCGACGAUCAUUAGCUGGUCUGAGAGGAUGAUCAGCCAGACUGGGACUGAGAACGGCCCAGACUCCUACGGGAGGCAGCAGUAGGGAAUUUUCCACAAUGGGCGAAAGCCUGAUGGAGCAACGCCGCGUGCAGGAUGAAGGCCUUCGGGUCGUAAACUGCUUUAUAUGUGAAGAAUAUGACGGUAGCAUAUGAAUAAGGAUCGGCUAACUCCGUGCCAGCAGCCGC
rnacentral:rRNA from 1 species